GGUGGCUCAGUGGUAGAGCAUUUGCCUUGCAUGCAAGAGACCCUGGGUUCGAUUCCUCAGCACCA
rnacentral:tRNA from 1 species